GCUUAGGUAGUUUAAUGGUAAAACUUUUGCCUCAUAUGCAUUUAAUAUAGGUUCAAUUCCUUUCUUAAGCU
rnacentral:tRNA from 1 species